rnacentral:rRNA from 1 species
CCUACGGGUGGCUGCAGUGGGGAAUAUUGCACAAUGGGCGCAAGCCUGAUGCAGCCAUGCCGCGUGUGUGAAGAAGGCCUUCGGGUUGUAAAGCACUUUCAGCGGGGAGGAAGGCGUUAAGGUUAAUAACCUUGGCGAUUGACGUUACCCGCAGAAGAAGCACCGGCUAACUCCGUGCCAGCAGCCGCGGUAAUACGGGGGGUGCAAGCGUUAAUCGGAAUUACUGGGCGUAAAGCGCACGCAGGCGGUCUGUCAAGUCGGAUGUGAAAUCCCCGGGCUCAACCUGGGAACUGCAUUCGAAACUGGCAGGCUAGAGUCUUGUAGAGGGGGGGAGAAUUCCAGGUGUAGCGGUGAAAUGCGUAGAGAUCUGGAGGAAUACCGGUGGCGAAGGCGGCCCCCUGGACAAAGACUGACGCUCAGGUGCGAAAGCGUGGGGAGCAAACAGGAUUAGAUACCCCAGUAGUC